rnacentral:rRNA from 1 species
UACGGAGGAUGCAAGCGUUAUCCGGAUUCAUUGGGUUUAAAGGGUGCGUAGGCGGGCUAUUAAGUCAGUGGUGAAAUCCUGCAGCUUAACUGUAACAGUGCCGUUGAUACUGUUUGGCUAGGAUUUGGUUGUAGUGUGCGGAAUGUGUGGUGUAGCGGUGAAAUGCUUAGAUAUCACACAGAACACCGAUUGCGAAGGCAGCACACUAAGUCAUUAUUGACGCUGAGGCACGAAAGUGUGGGGAUCAAACAGGA